rnacentral:rRNA from 1 species
AGAGUUUGAUCCUGGCUCAGGGUUAACGCUGGCGGUAUGUCUAAUACAUGCAAGUCGAAUGGUCCUUUGGACCAUGGCGAACGGCUGAGUAACACGUUGGUAUCUGCCCCGUACUCAGGGAUAACCCGUCUAACGGCGGGCUAAUACCGGAUGGUCCCGAAAGGGUAAAGAUUUUUCGGUACGGGAGGAACCUGCGGCCUAUCAGUUUGUUGGUGAGGUAACGGCUCACCAAGACUAUGACGGGUAGCUGGUCUGAGAGGAUGAUCAGCCAGAAUGGAACUGAGACACGGUCCAUACUCCUACGGGAGGCAGCAGUAAAGAAUCUUUCGCAAUGGGGGAAACCCUGACGAAGCAAUACCGCGUGGGUGAUGAAGGCCGAAAGGUUGUAAAACCCUUUUCUGAGGGAAUAAUUCUGAAGGUACCUCAGGAAUAAGCACCGGCUAACUCCGUGCCAGCAGCCGCGGUAAUACGGAGGGUGCAAGCGUUACCCGGAAUCAUUGGGCGUAAAGCGUCCGCAGGCUGUCUGUUAAGUUGGUUAUUAAAUCUUGAAGCCCAACUUCAAGGCCGUGACCAAAACUGGCAGACUAGAGUCUUUCAGAGGUGCGUGGAAUUCUGUGUGUAGGGGUUAAAUCCGUAGAUAUACAGAGGAACACCAAAAGCGAAGGCAGCGCACUGGGAAAGUACUGACGCUCAUGGACGAAAGCGUGGAUAGUGAACGGGAUUAGAUACCCCGGUAGCCCACGCCGUAAACGAUGGAUACUAGGUGUUGGAAGGACUCGAUCCCUUCAGUGCCGACGCUAACGCAUUAAGUAUCCCGCCUGGGGAGUACGGUCGCAAGAUUAAAACUCAAAGGAAUAGACGGGGACCCACACAAGCGGUGGAGCAUCUGGCUUAAUUCGAUAAUGAGCGAGGAACCUCACCUAGGUUUGACAUCCCGAGAAUUUUCCGGAAACGGAGAAGUGCCUUUAGGAACUCGGUGACAGGUGCUGCAUGGUUGUCGUCAGCUCGUGCCAUGAGGUGUUCGGUUAAGUCCGUAAACGAGCGCAACCCACGUCUCGUGUUGUAUUUUUCACGAGAGACUGCCCCGCAUAACGGGGAGGAAGGUGUGGAUGACGUCAAAUCAGCAUGGCCCUUAUGCCUAGGGCUGCACAGGUGCUACAAUGGACGAUACAAUGGGUAGCAAUGCCGUAAGGCGGAGCCAAUCCUUAAAGUCGUUCUAAGUUCGGAUUGAGAGCUGCAAUUCGCUCUCAUGAAGUUGGAAUCGCUAGUAAACGCGGAUCAGCAACGGCGCGUUGAAUAUGUUCCUGGGUCUUGUACUCACCGCCCGUCACACUAUGAAAGGUGGGGGCGCCCGAAGUACUCUUAUCCACUUUGUGGAGGGGUCCUAAGGUGAAACCACUGAUUGGAGUGAAGUCGUAACAAGGUAUCCGUAGGUGAACCUGCGGAUG